rnacentral:rRNA from 1 species
CUUGCAUAUAUAAGAGGUCCAGCCUGCCCAGUGACUUAGUUCAACGGCCGCGGUAUCCUAACCGUGCGAAGGUAGCGUAAUCACUUGUUCUUUAAAUGAGGACUCGUAUGAAUGGCACCACGAGGGUUACACUGUCUCCUUUCUCUAAUCAAUGAAACUGAUCUCCCCGUGAAGAAGCGGGGAUACACAUAUUAGACGAGAAGACCCUAUGGAGCUUCAAACUAUACAGCACUGGCUUUUAUCUUUUUCCACUUCAGAGUUUUUAAUAUUAUUCUAGCCUUUUGACUAUUAGUUUUAGGUUGGGGUGACCACGGAGCAAAAAUUAACCUCCACGAUGAACAGACCAACUCUUGAGCUAAAAGCCACAACUUUAAGCACCAAUAAACUGACACAAAUUGACCCAAUAUUUUGACCAACGAAC